UCUUAUUGCUUGUUUACCGCACACAAUGACUGCUUGAGCCAUUUCAAUGUGUGCGCCAGUCUCGAAGAAUUAGCCCAGGAUUUGGGCAUCAUAAGAGCUGGCUUUUGUGCUGUAUUUCAACCUUCUUAAGAUCCUAAUGUCUUUUUUCCCGCCGAAACUAUAGAGAAGUUGAAUUCCAAUGAAGUUCUUAUUGAUUCCAGUCUCCUCAAUACUGAAUGCAUGAAGUACAACAGAGGAACAUGGAUAAUGGCGACAGUUCUUCAUUACAAUUGCUAAUGUCGAGAACGUGAACACUAGCUCCAAAUACCCCCGUGUUGUGGCAGUAAUGCACAUCGCCUGUUUGGUAGCGGUCGGCAACACAACUCUCACCUUCUCGCCGUCACAUUAUAAGCCAAGUUAACAGGCUUUAUCUCAGAUUUCUUCUGUGGGGAUAAAGAAAGCUGUAAGAAAAUGGAUAACACUGUUAAAUCCGGAACGUCGGAGAACGGUUCAAGCCAGCCGGACCUGCUUCCUGUCAGAGGCGGACGAAUACAGGGGGCGAAUUCCGGUGGGUCGGGGAAGCAGACCAGUGGACUUGAAAGUGUCGGAGUUUCAAAUGAAACCACGCUAACAAAAUCGGAAUUAUAUUCACUUAAAGAUAUUGAACGCCGGGUUUCACAGCUGGUAGGGGCAAUAAGUGCUUGCUGGAUUUUACGGCUAUUGUGAACUGCUAAAUCAGUGCUCUGUGUACUGUGAAGUAACGCAUCGUCUGGGCCCUCGUAAGCGGGACGAGAGCCCCCAUUUGGGAAAACUUUACUCAAGUUUUGCGGUAAGGAAUAGUGUAUGUAAAAGCCGAGGAGACCACAUUGGAAUUCUUCGGAGACACGGACUUCGCGCAUGGUCAGUGUGUGUGCGACCAUCUGAACAGGAUAACUUGGUGGUCCUGGAGACCCCGGAGGACGACCAGACAAGACUUUUCAGAUGUAUCAGAAGCAAAACGGAGUCGGACGGCAGCUAAGCGUGGCGUUUAUUAGUUUUUGGAAGGAUUGGAAAUACUGGCAUCGAUACAGGAGAUAUAUUACAGGUGAAAGCAGAGACACUGCCCGAAGGAAGUAUUGAAACACAACAGGAACUUUAUAACUAUGUAUUUAUUCAUGGCAAAAAGUGCAAGACUGUGCGUUUAUGCAGACAAGAACAUCUUCAGUUUUGGGAAACCUUUCGCGUAUGUGCUACUGGUACACAUCACUAUCUCGUGCAACGUCUUCAGUGGUUACAACCCUUUCAUCGCCAGC